CAUCACUUUGCAUGUUUAUAUGGAUAUUAUCACAAAUGUGUGUAUAUAUAUAUAUAUAUAUAUAUAUAUAUAUAUAUAUAUACAUAUUUAUUUGUGAUAAUAUCCAUAUAAACAUGCAAAGUAUAA